UCUAGGAUAGUACAGUUGGUAGAGCAUGAGACUCUUAAUCUCAGGGUUGUGGGUUUAAGCCCCACCUUGGUAAAA